UCUUGACUUUUGAAAAAAAUUUAAUGCACAAGUAAAAUCACUAUAUAUAAUGCAUAGCUAUCGCAAUUUGUUUAAACAAUUUAACCAAUUAAGUGUUUGUUAAUUUUUUAAUGCAAUUUUUUAUCAUCAAUCCUAUCUAAAGAUUCGUAGGCAACCCUGUUUUGCUUGACUUUUGAAAAACUUAAUUUUCCGCACAAAUGAAUAAAGUUCCGCUUUAAUUUUCAACAAUUUCUAUGCAACUGCACUGUAGAAACGCACUCAUAACUCUGGGAUUCCCUCUUUUCAAACUUACCCAACUCGACGAAAAAGUGAUGAGCUUGCACUCCAAGACUCCAAUAAAAGCCGGAGUAUUUUCCCUUAUCCGCUCGAACCGGCACUCAAGAACUUUUUAUGCUUUUCGUGGUUUUCUACGAAAUAUAAACAACACUUGAAGAAAACCGCCAGCGACCGAGUACGACAGCUGCAUGCGCCCUGGCAUUCGAGUACCUAAUGAAGCGGCCAAGCAAAAUCGGGGCCUGACAGACCCUAAACCCAAACGUCACUUUCCCCGCCUACUGGGGUUCCCUACUAAAAAAGACUGUCAUCCAAAAUAUCAGAAACGGGCACUUUUCGAAACAUUUAUUUGGGCAUUAUAUACUUCAUUUCAUUAAACACAUAUUCCGGUCGGGUUUAGCUUGAGAUUUUCUUUAGCGUUCAACUCAAUUUUGAUUUCAUGUAGCUUUUAAUAGUUAAAAUGUACUUGCUUACUGUGUAGUUUUCCCUAGACUAUGGGCGACAAUUAUUAUUGAACUAGUCCUAAAUUUUAUUUAAUUUGUGUGUACUUUUUUUGUAUGCAUAACAUGGUUUGUGUGAGAGUUUCCCUUUAAAUAUAUAUUUUUCGAAAAUAUACAUGGGCACAUUAAGUGGUAACUAAAGUACGAUUACGAUACUGAGCUUAACUGAAUCGUUUUUCCCCUUUGAUAGACAUUAAUUAAUACGUUUUCAUUCAGCAGCGAAUGUUACAUAGGCUUCCAGAUUAAUCUUGUAAUACUUUUACCAAUUUUGUGGAAAUCUACUGCCAUUGCACAAUUAUAACCUGUAUUCAGUUGCUUUUUGCAU